CCUGUCUUCAGGGAAUAAUGAUAAUGCUGAUAAUGAUGAUUUUGUGACUCUCCCAGGCUGACACAGAACUCUUGCCGUACUCUGGACUCCAAGCUUUCCCAUUGAGCUGCAUCCCUGGGCUGCAGCAGAAAAAUGGUGGCUCUGGCUUUGGAAUGAAUUUCCCCUAAAUCAGUGUUUCUCAGACAUUCCCAUCAAAGGUGCCACCACCUUGGAUGAACCCAAUGGAGUUCGCCGCAAGCAUGAAAUUUCUAUUUUCAUGAUGUGUAGCCCACAUGCUGCAGGAAAAAGGACCUACGAGACUGUACCGUGUAGAAGGUCUGCACUGCUGAGAAGAAGGGGGAGUGUGCCCACUGGCAGCUCCCUCACACAUCAAAAGGUCAAGGCUUUCCUUUACACCUGAGUAAAACCUGACACCCUUCCAGGGUUUGGCCUGUAAUUCCUGGGGAAGAGGAGUCCAUGACCCUCAUCCAGAGAAGAUGGAGCUCGAGACCCAGAGGAGAAGGAAGGAGGACCUUGGGGUCAGGAGUCAAACUUCAUGCGGGACAUUUGGAAGGUUAACCAAUGACAUGCAUCUGUAAGAGGCCACCACAUUUAUCCCACAAAAUAUUCAGGAUCAUAGGAGGUCAUGAUAUUUAUACAGGGCAGUAAAACGAACAGUAUCUACCUAGGAGUCACAAUGUCUGUCCAAGGGAAUAGAAUAUAUAACAUUCAGAUUCUAUUUACUGGGUGAGAUACUUUUCACUUCUAGAAUAGGUGAUGUGAAGGAGGCUGGCACCCCAGCUUCACGUCUCCUCAUUUAGGAGGGACUGGGAGCCUGGAGCUGGACGUUCUGAAGUUACAGAGGAACUGAUUUCCUCGCCAAGAUGCUCCCCCACUGUAGGGGUGUCAAAGGUAACUUAAAAAGUGUGAUCUCAGGCAGCCUGGGUAGCUCAGUGGUUUAGCGCCACCUUUGGCCCAGGGCAUGAUCCUGGAGUCCUGGAAUCAAGUCCCACAUCGGGCUCCCUGCAUGGAGCCUGCUUCUCCCUCUGUCUGUGUCUCUGCCUCUCUCUCUCUCUCUCUCUCUCUCUCUCUCUGUCGCUCAUGAAUGAAUAAAUAAAAUCUUAAAAAAAAAGUGUGGUCUCUG
rnacentral:lncRNA from 12 species